CAUAUUGUGCAGUUCCAAAGCACAGCUUCAGAGCAGCUGGUCAAGAUGAAACCAGCAUCACUCUACGGUGGAACAAAGUCAACAACAGUGUCAGCUUUGUUCUCCUGUUUAAUGGCACAGAAACAAACAUCAGUGCUCCAGCUGCAGAUGACUCUGUAACUUACACAGUGUCAUCUCUGACUGCUGCAACUAAAUACACAUUCACUCUCUUCUCUGUGAUUGAGAAUGUCAGAAGCAGUGGAAUCAGCAUUGAUGCAGUCACUGCUCCUCCAAAUGCAGAAAUGUUCCACUUAAUUGAAAAAAAUGACACCAGUAUCACUCUGCAGUGGAGUAAGCAAAAAUACACUGGUUAUUCACUUAAUAGUGAAUCUAAGUAUACAGUUAAGAUAUUUGCUGCAUCAGAUGCUGAUGGACCAGUAGUCUUUACAGUCUCCUCUCUCUAUCCUGCCACUAAAUACACAUUCACUCUUUUCUCCGUAUUUGAGAACGCCAGAAGCAGUGGAGUUCAACUGACCGUCA